AACGAACGCUGGCGGCAUGCCUAACACAUGCAAGUCGAACGAGACCUUCGGGUCUAGUGGCGCACGGGUGCGUAACGCGUGGGAACCUGCCUUUAGGUUCGGAAUAACUCAGAGAAAUUUGAGCUAAUACCGGAUGAUGUCUUCGGACCAAAGAUUUAUCGCCUUUAGAUGGGCCCGCGUUGGAUUAGCUAGUUGGUGGGGUAAAGGCCUACCAAGGCGACGAUCCAUAGCUGGUCUGAGAGGAUGAUCAGCCACACUGGGACUGAGACACGGCCCAGACUCCUACGGGAGGCAGCAGUGGGGAAUAUUGGACAAUGGGCGAAAGCCUGAUCCAGCAAUGCCGCGUGAGUGAAGAAGGCCUUAGGGUUGUAAAGCUCUUUUACCCGAGAUGAUAAUGACAGUAUCGGGAGAAUAAGCUCCGGCUAACUCCGUG
rnacentral:rRNA from 1 species